rnacentral:rRNA from 1 species
CACGCCGUAAACGUUGGGCACUAGGUGUGGGAGGGAGUCAACCCCUUCCGUGCCGUAGCUAACGCAUUAAGUGCCCCGCCUGGGGAGUACGGCCGCAAGGCUAAAACUCAAAGGAAUUGA